GAGUUUGAUCGUGGCUCAGAUUGAACGCUGGCGGCAUGCCUUACACAUGCAAGUCGAACGGCAGCAUGAUCUAGCUUGCUAGAUUGAUGGCGAGUGGCGAACGGGUGAGUAAUACAUCGGAACGUGCCCUGUAGUGGGGGAUAACUAGUCGAAAGAUUAGCUAAUACCGCAUACGACCUGAGGGUGAAAGUGGGGGACCGCAAGGCCUCAUGCUAUAGGAGCGGCCGAUGUCUGAUUAGCUAGUUGGUGGGGUAAAGGCCCACCGAGGCGACGAUCAGUAGCUGGUCUGAGAGGACGAUCAGCCACACUGGGACUGAGACACGGCCCAGACUCCUACGGGAGGCAGCAGUGGGGAAUUUUGGACAAUGGGCGAAAGCCUGAUCCAGCAAUGCCGCGUGUGUGAAGAAGGCCUCGGUUGUAAG
rnacentral:rRNA from 1 species